AGACUAGUGUGCUGCUCGAUGAUGGAAUAAGCCUUGUGGUCUUUGGUCCUUGUGGUCCUUCUCUUGCUUUUAGGUUGUUUUUCCCCCUUUUAGGACAGCAUCCUUUCAGUUUUGCUUUUAGCAUCUUUCGGUUUUGCUUUUAGCAUCCCUAGGACAGCAUCUAGCAUCUCCUUUAUGCUUUAUUCAGUUUGGAUGCUCUCUAGGACAGCAUUGCGUCCAAAUUUUAGACUAGUGUGGGCAGCAAUUAGCUAGCAGCCAUCCAGCCAGCUAUGGCUAUAUAUAUGUAUCCAACCUCCCUCGGGAAGGUAUGGCUUUUGUGUUUUGUGAAUGAAGAAAACCAGAAAAUUGCCCCAUCUCGAGUGCCAUCCUCCUCUCAAUGAGAGUAACCAUUGAAAUUCUAACACUCGAGUCGACCACUGCGACUCCUUGCAGUGCCGUCCGUCUGUCGCCAAUACCUCCAUCGUCACGCUGCCUCCGUCCCUCGACGCCGCCCUCGCCGUCCUCCCCCAUGAGCUUCCUCCCUUCCCUCCGGCCUGUGCCCCCACGCCCACCACAAGCGCCGCCAUCGAUCCUCUGUCACUGCUGCCCCUGGAAAUCCACUUUCGUGCCCUGUCCGUUCCUGAUCCGCCACCAUCUAUCCUUCGUCAUCAAGGGCGUCAUCUCCCCUGAAUCAUCAAAGUUGUCGUACUCGUAUCCCCGAAACAAGCAGCCCCAGCGGCCCAGCCCCGUCCAUGCCGCCACCCCGGCCUUUGGCCUCUGACGCCGUCCAUGCCACCUCCCUGACAUCCUCGACGCUACCCUCACUGCUUCUGUCCCUCGAUACCGCCCUGAGUCGACCGCGAUCUAGACAGUGACGACGGAGGAACAGUCAUCCAGGAUUAUUGGGGGACAGGAACAUUCGGUUGUGGAACAAUUAUUGUGGAGGAGAAAGAUUUCAUUGCAGAGAAUGUCACGUUUGACAACUCAUCUCCCUAGGGGUAUGGGCAGAUAGAUGCAGUUUGAGUAACAACAGGUAGAAGUGCAUUCUACAAUUGCAGGUUCCUUGAUUGGCAGGUAUGCUCAUUUAUUCAACUCUUGGUUAAAUCAUUUCAUUAGUUAAGAUAAUCAUGGUUUAAAAGCGUCGCCUAGGAGACGCCUAGGCGUCUGAGCACCAUCAGGGGGCAGAGCGUCCCCACCGCUUACCCUUCUACACGUCUUGGAUCCU